rnacentral:rRNA from 1 species
CCUACGGGCGGCUGCAGUGAGGAAUAUUGGUCAAUGGCCGAGAGGCUGAACCAGCCAAGUCGCGUGAGGGAAGACGGCCCUACGGGUUGUAAACCUCUUUUGUCGGGGAGCAAAGCGAACCACGUGUGGUUCAUUGAGAGUACCCGAAGAAAAAGCAUCGGCUACCUCCGUGCCAGCAGCCGCGGUAAUACGGAGGAUGCGAGCGUUAUCCGGAUUUAUUGGGUUUAAAGGGUGCGAAGGCGGAGGUUGAAGUCAGCGGUAAAAUUGAGGGGCUAAACCCAGUACUGCCGUUGAAACUGAAACUCGUGAGUGCGGGAGAGGUAGGCGGAAUGCGGGGUGUAGCGGUGAAAUGCAUAGAUA